ACCUUUGAAAGCUCAUUGGGUACAGCAUGAGACUCUAAAUCUCAGAGUUGUGGAUUCGAGCCCCAUGUUGGGCA